rnacentral:misc_RNA from 1 species
GAUGAAGAACGUAGCGAAAUGCGAUACGUAAUGUGAAUUGCAGAAGUCAGUGAAUCAUCGAAUCUUUGAACGCAUAUUGCGCUCUCUGGUAUUCCGGAGAGCAUGCUUGUUUGAGUAUCAGUAAACACCUCAACUUCCAUAUCUUUUUUGAAAUGGGAGUUGGACUUGAGUGAUCCCAACGCUUUUCCUCACCGAAAAGUGGCGGGUUACUUGAAAUGCAGGUGCAGCUGGACUUUUCUCUGAGCUAUAAGCAUAUCUAUUUAGUCUGCCUAAAAAACAGAUUAUUACCUUUGCUGCAGCUAACAUAAAGGAGAUUAGUUCUUGUGCUGACUGAUGCAGGAUUCACAAAGACAGGCUUCGGCCGACUUUGUAAACUCGAUCUCAAAUCAAGUAAGACUACCCGCUGAACUUAAGCAUAUCAAUAAGCGGAGGA